rnacentral:lncRNA from 1 species
GUUUUAGAUUACUUUCAUUCUCAUUCAACUGAAUUUGAUGAUGAGUUUCUGAUUUGAGUUUCACGAUCCUAAUUUAUGAGUUUAAUCUAGUUUAUGAGUUUUAGGUUUUAGAUUCUUAUGUAUGUGAUCACGAGCUUUUCAUUUGAGGAAAUAGGUAAUUCAUUCAAUACUCACUGAAAAUUGAAUUUUGGAGAAGGCACAUAAAGUGUUUGAUGAAAUGAUUGUGAUGAAUUUGUUUACUUGGUCUGCUAUGAUUGGUUCUUGUUCAAGCUACAAGAGUAAUUGGAUGGAGGAAUUUAUUUACUUUGGCUUCAUGGUAUAAUAUAUGGAAGUUAAUAGUAUAUGAUUAGCACUGGAUGUGUAGAUAUAAUCUUAUGUUGUUUAAUAGUUGCAUGUUGAAUAGCUUAUUUCAACACACAUGGAUAAAUAUAUAGUUUAACAAUGUUAAAAUCAACCAAUAAUUCUGUAGCCUGCAAGGCUGCACCUAUAACUUUAUGAGGUUUAGCUUAUAAAUCUUUAAUAAUGCAUGUAAAAGUACAGGAACUAGAGUUGAAAUAGGAUAAUCUAAAAAAACUUAGUUAGUCUCAAAGAUGGGAAACUUCUACCAUAAGAAUGAAAGUGAUUUGUGUCUCUAACAGGAUUGCUUGUAUUUAUGCUUUUCUUUCUGACCGCGACCGUAAACGCCAUUGUCAUACCAAUGAAACGCAUUCAUUCAAUACUUACUGAAAAAAAUCAGUGUGACUUUUUGACUAGUGUUCUUGACAAUGGUUUGAGCUAUGAGGCUUUUUUAAUGGGGUUUUCUGACAAUAUGUUAAGUAUCCAUUAAUAUGUAUAGUAUCAUGCGGAUGAUUAUUCUCCUAAAAGCUUAAGUUGAUAGGUAGAGGUGAUGCUUUUGUAUCUGGACAAGUUAGGAGGCUUAAGGUUAGGAAUAUCAUACCAGUUGAGGGUGGUAAUCCUCCUAAAUAUGCUAAGAGAACACAAUUGGUAACAGAAAACUACCAAGUUGUGUGAUUGAUUUCCUCUCGGCUUUGAGCUUCUAUGACAGUUUUCCUCUUAUAGCCGUGUCUCUUUUGUCAAUAGGAUAUACUUUUAGUUGCAAAUUCAUGAUUUUUUACUUUUAGUUCUACUUGUCGAAACAUGGAGCAAACUAUGAUACUGGAACAGACUUUCAGAGUUAUGAGACAUUAGCAAUUGGGUAAUUGGAGGUUCAACUAUAAAGAGACAUGUGUGGUUCUUUUAAUCUUAGUAUGUUGUUUGAUAAGU